rnacentral:rRNA from 1 species
CGGCAACAGCUCAAAUUUGAAAUCUGGCCUCUUUCGGGGUCCGAGUUGUAAUUUGUAGAGGAUGUUUUGGGUACCGCGCUGGUUUAAAUUUCUUGGAACAGAAUGUCAGAGAGGGUGAGAAUCCCGU